ACUUGCUAAAGGAGGGGUAGGUAGGGCAAGACGCUUUCUUGGAUCCUCUCUUGAGUGACUUUCCAAGGUGACAGACUCCCUUCUGUGCCAUGGAGAAGGAUGCUUGUUUCCUACUCAUUCCUACUACACUUGAUUGGUGCUGCCACGCCCUCGGCUCUGCAGGAUGCAGGAAAUGCUCAAAUCCCAGAAGCAGGAACGCUCAUGCUGGCAAACGCAGACUCGGUGUGGGCUUGGGCAACAGCCUGACGUAAGUGGAUCUGGCAAGGCCGCAAGAGCUUUGGCAGCCGAGCCCCUGGCGCAGAAGCAUCCUCAUCAACACAGUGUUGACGGCGCUCCCGGGCCUCUGGCUCAUCCCUGUUUCUUAGCAACUGCCCUAUUUUGGGGGAACACUGAGUGCCACAGGGAAGCUGGCCUGGAAGCACGUGCAAGACAGGCAGCACCUUCAGUCAACACGCAGCCCCCUGCUCCCAGCAGCCUGGUCCCCUGAUACCAGCUGCCAUCUCCCGGCACAAUGUGACCAGAUUGGAAGACCUCCAUGAGGCGGUUCAGCCACUCCACAGGUCUCUAAGCAGCUUCCAGGACCCAAGCUUGUGAGAGAGGCCCUGGUCAUCCCCUGCGCCCCCAGGCAAUAGCCCAUUGCCAUCUGUUAUGCUUCCAACCAUCUGAAUAGCUGCUAUGGUAGGAAAGAAAGACACUUAACAAAACACACCAGGCCCUCAACACUCACACCCAGGGCCGGGCACAGAGGGCCCCCUCGAUCGAUAAAACACCCCAAAGGGAGUCCAGGUCUUCCCUAACAUUCCAUGACCAACAGAGGUGUUCUAGAAAGUUCUGGGAUAUGAAUGCCUGCUGGAUGUUUGUUCCUUCUCCACUUUGACAACAUCAUUUUAUCUUUGCAAAAUUUAUUUUGGAGGAAUUAAAGAAUUCCACCAGGGCCAGGUUUCUUGGGAGAGGCAGUUGAUCUCAGAUAUGUAUUAUUAAUACUAACAUUUUCUUGUCGUGAUUGCACGCCCAAUUUAAAAUGAAUUAUCCAAUUAAGUUAAGAAGGUGAUGCGUUCUAAUUCCAGGAAUAGGUUGCCAAUGACUUUGUCUUGACUGUUCUCCCCGAAAUCCCUUCCAAUUAAGUAAAGAUUGUUCAGUACAUCGUGAGGCUAAGCCAAGAGGUUGCUGUGGAGACGGGAGGAUUUUUCAUCCUAUCACCAUUUUCCUCUCUUGAUGAGAAGGGAGCCAGCAGAGCUUUCAGCCUCCCCCGGGGUUGAAUGUUCAGUGCCAGCAAGGACAAAAGGUCUGCUGGACAGAAGAGGAUGAGGGGUUGUGAAAGCUUCCAGGUCUCCUUCUGCAACAACAGAGAGAACCCGUGUCUUCAGCUUCUCGUGAGCAAAAGACAGUUGCCCACAUUAUGGGGAUACCAGAGCCCAUCCUUUUUCCCUCUCCACCUCAUGCUGAAGGUGUGAUAGGGCCAACUCGGCCAGCAGAGAGAAAUAGAUUCAUGGUACCUGGCCAGAAAGAUCAAGGCUGUAUGGUUGGGUGUAAAAUGAUCCAUGCCAAGAACAGUAAGAGGAGACACAGAUUUUUAUUUCUAAAAUGGAAAUCUGCUCAUAGCACUCUCUUGCUUUUUUAAGAGACAGAGUUUUGCUCUUUCACUCUGUUGCCGAGGCUGGAGUGCAGUCAUAUAGUAAGAGCUCACUGCAGCCUCUACUUCCUGGGCUCAAGUGAUCCUCCUGCCUCAGCCUCCCCAGUAAGUAGGACUACAGGUGCGCACAACCAUGCCCAGCUAAUUUUUUGUCAUUUUUGCUCAUCUGUUAUUAUUAGUUUUUUGGUUCUUGGGGGCUUUUUUUUGUUUGUUUUUGUAGAAACAAGGCCUCACUAUAUUGCCCAGGCUGGUCUCAAAACUCCUGGGCUCAAGCAAUCUUCUCAUCUUGGCCUCCCAAAGUACUGGGAUUACAGGUGUGAGCAUUCCCCGCCCCCUCCCCCAUCUCCUGUUUUUAACUUUUUUUUUAAUGUAUUUUUAUUUAUUUUUUUUUUUGAGAUGGAGCCUUGCUCAGUUGCCCAGGCUGCAGUGCAGUGAUGUGAUCUCGGCCCACUGCAAUCUCCACCUCCCAGGUUCAAGCAAUUCUCCUGCCUCAGCCUCCCGAGUAGCUGGGAUUUAUAGGCGCACACCACCAUGCCCAGCUAAUUUUUGUAUUUUUAGUAGAGACGGGGUUUUCACCAUGUUGGCCGGAAUGGUCUCGAUCUCCUGACCUCAGGAUCCACCCGCCUCGGCCUCCCAAAGUGCUGGGAUUGCAGGCGUGAGCCACCGCACCCAGCCAGCUUUUAACUUUUCAUUGGCUCUCACCACAGAGUUCCAACCCUUUAGCAUGAUAUACUCCACACUCCAUUCCCCACUCACUUUUCCAACCACAUCUUGCCCUCACUCCCAAGAUACUCUGUGCUUGAAAGGUCAAACUCAUCCACACGUCCCUGCCUUUACUCACACUGUUCCCUUCUUGGUAUAUCCCUUCUAACUUUUUUCAGCCGGGUAAACUCAUUCUCAUUCCUUAAGAUCCAGAUCAAGUGUCUUGACCUCCGGAGGCCUUCCCUCUGCCUCUACAUCCCUCCCUGCUCUCCCAGAAGACCCCAGCAUUGGCCAUGCCAGCACUUUACACGGGGUUCUCUACUAAAAUUGGUUUCAUGUCUGUCUCCCCAACCAGCUGCUGAGCCCCUCAGGAGGAAGGAGGUAUGUUUCCAAAGGGAUGGCUGGAUGGCUGAGGAAAAGGCAGAGGUGAAAGAAGAGGCCGUGUCAACUGGAGGUGGAUGUAUAAUUAAAAACCCUAGGCCAGGUGCUGUGGCUCAUGCCUGCAAUCCCAGCGCUUUGGGAGGCCGAGGCGAGCAGAUCACCUGAGGUCAGGAGUUCGAGACUAGUCUGGUGAAAUCCCAUCUCUACUAAAAAUACAAAACCUAGCUGGGAAUGGUGGGACGCACCUGUAAUCCCAGCUACUCGGGAGGCUGAGGCAGGAGAAUCACUUGAACCUGGGAGGCAGAGGUUGCAGUGAGCUGAGAUCGCGCCACUGCACUCCAGUCUGGCCAACAGGAGUGAAACUGUGUCUCCAAAAAAAAGCCUUAUUCAAGAAGUGGUGAAUGCUGUGAAUCCCAGCAGGAAUUCCUGCCCCUCAGGCUUGACCCAUAAGGUGCCUGGCAGUUGUCAGGGCCAGUGACAGAAAUGCUCUGGGCAUGGGCCCCGCUCUUCUCUACUCUAAGAUGAAGGGUCCAUCUGUCUGAUGUUAAGGAGUGAAAGACUUGUUAGCUUGUUAAUAAAUAAAAUCUCUGAAAAAGA